rnacentral:lncRNA from 1 species
GGCCGGGGGGGCGGGGCGGGUGCGGGGGCAGCGCUGGGGGGUCCUGCUGCUGGCGCGGCUGCUGCGGGGGGAGGGCGGCGCCUGAGAUGUCGCGACACAGCGGGGUGGGCGUGUCGGGACAUGGCGCCCCCCCAGCCCCCGUUUUGUGACCACCCCCCCCCUCAAAAAACACUUGGAAAGCGCAAAAUCCGUGUCCGGCUCUGUGAGGGGGGGUCUGAGGGUAUCUCUGUGGGGCUGGGGGCUCCCAUAGGGCCGGGGGUGUCCCUUGGGGUCUGGGGAGGGGUCCCAGUACACGAGGAGGGGGCUUAAACCCCCCCCGACCCCAAACCUCCCACUUCCGCCAUAUUUCCUCCCCCAUGGGCGCCGCCAUCUUUGUUUCCUCCAACAUGGCGCUUCCGGCGCGCUUUGACGUCACUUCCGCACUCCCAAUUUUCUCCCCCCCCAUCUAAAAUGGCGGCUCCCGUUCGGGUCCGGGUCCCUCCCGGGGCUCCCCCGGAGCCGCUCCCGGUUCAGCUCCUGCCCUGCCGGAUCCAGCACGACGGGCCCGCCCCUGUGGCCGCGUUCCUGCGGGCCCGGCCCGGCCCGGACGGCGAUCUCUGGGCCUCGUUCCGGGGGCGCCGUUUGGGGGGUCGGGAGCUGCCGCUGCCCCCCGGCUACACGGGGGCGGUGCUCAGGGGGGGGGAGCCCGGAGAGCCCCCCCGGGGCGACCCCCAGGCCGCCUCGGUGACAGUGACCGGGACGUUCGGGGCCAUCACGGACUGGGGGGUGACAGCCCCGGGCGGGGCCUGGCCCGGGCGCUGCAGUGGGGACCCCUGGCCCAGGCCCUCCACGCCCCCGUGA